ACGGAAGGCAGCAGUGGGGAAUAUUGCACAAUGGGGGGAACCCUGAUGCAGCCAUGCCGCGUGAAUGAAGAAGGCCUUCGGGUUGUAAAGUUCUUUCGGUAGCGAGGAAGGUAUCAAAUUUAAUAGAUUUGGUAAUUGACGUUAACUACAGAAGAAGCACCGGCUAACUCCGUGCCAGCAGCCGCGGUAAUACGGAGGGUGCGAGCGUUAAUCGGAAUAACUGGGCGUAAAGGGCACGCAGGCGGUUGAUUAAGUGAGAUGUGAAAGCCCCGAGCUUAACUUGGGAAUUGCAUUUCAUACUGGUCAACUAGAGUACUUUAGGGAGGGGUAGAAUUCCACGUGUAGCGGUGAAAUGCGUAGAGAUGUGGAGGAAUACCGAAGGCGAAGGCAGCCCCUUGGGAAUGUACUGACGCUCAUGUGCGAAAGCGUGGGGAGCAAACAGGAUUAGAUACCCUGGUA
rnacentral:rRNA from 1 species